UAGGGAAUCUUCCGCAAUGGACGCAAGUCUGACGGAGCAACGCCGCGUGAGUGAAGAAGGAUUUCGGUUCGUAAAACUCUGUUGUUAGAGAAGAACAGCGCAUAGAGUAACUGUUAUGCGUGUGACGGUAUCUAACCAGAAAGCCACGGCUAACUACGUGCCAGCAGCCGCGGUAAUACGUAGGUGGCAAGCGUUGUCCGGAUUUAUUGGGCGUAAAGCGAGCGCAGGCGGUCAAUUAAGUCUGAUGUGAAAGCCCCCGGCUCAACCGGGGAGGGUCAUUGGAAACUGGUUGACUUGAGGGCAGAAGAGGAGAGUGGAAUUCCAUGUGUAGCGGUGAAAUGCGUAGAUAUAUGGAGGAACACCAGUGGCGAAGGCGACUCUCUGGUCUGUAACUGACGCUGAGGCUCGAAAGCGUGGGUAGCAAACAGG
rnacentral:rRNA from 1 species